rnacentral:rRNA from 1 species
UAGGGAAUAUUGCUCAAUGGGCGAAAGCCUGAAGCAGCAACGCCGCGUGGAGGAUGACACUUUUCGGAGCGUAAACUCCUUUUCUUAGGGAAGAAAGUGACGGUACCUGAUGAAUAAGCCACGGCUAACUACGUGCCAGCAGCCGCGGUAAUACGUAGGUGGCAAGCGUUAUCCGGAUUUACUGGGUGUAAAGGGCGCGUAGGCGGGGAUGCAAGUCAGAUGUGAAAUCUAUGGGCUUAACCCAUAAACUGCAUUUGAAACUGUAUCUCUUGAGUGUCGGAGAGGUAGACGGAAUUCCUAGUGUAGCGGUGAAAUGCGUAGAUAUUAGGAGGAACACCAGUGGCGAAGGCGGUCUACUGGACGAUAACUGACGCUGAGGCGCGAAAGCGUGGGGAGCAAACAGGAUUAGAUACCCUGGUAGU